GCAUAUCAAUAAGCGGAGGAAAAGAAACCAACAGGGAUUGCCCUAGUAACGGCGAGUGAAGCGGCAACAGCUCAAAUUUGAAAUCUGGCUUCGGCCCGAGUUGUAAUUUGCAGAGGAUGUUUCUGGCGCGGUGCCUUCCGAGUUCCCUGGAACGGGACGCCACAGAGGGUGAGAGCCCCGUAUGGUUGGACACCAAGCCUGUGUGAAACUCCUUCAACGAGUCGAGUAGUUUGGGAAUGCUGCUCAAAAUGGGAGGUAAAUCUCUUCUAAAGCUAAAUACUGGCCAGAGACCGAUAGCGCACAAGUAGAGUGAUCGAAAGAUGAAAAGCACCUUGAAAAGGGGGUUAAACAGUACGUGAAAUUGUUGAAAGGGAAGCGCUCAUGACCAGACUUGUGCUGGGCAGCUCAUCCGGGGUUCUCCCCGGUGCACUCUGCCCAGUUCAGGCCAGCAUCGAUUUUUGCUGGGGGAUAAGAACAGUAGGAACGUGGCCCUCCUUCGGGCGGGUGUUAUAGCCUACUGUACGAUACCCUGGCGGAGAUCGAGGUUCGCGCAUCUGCAAGGAUGCUGGCGUAAUGGUCAUCAGCGACCCGUCUUGAAACACGGACCAAGGAGUCGUCCAUUAGAGCGAGCGUUUGGGUGUAAAACCCGCACGCGUAAUGAAAGUGAAAUUAGGUGAGAGCUUCGGCGCAUCAUCGACCGAUCCUGAUGUUUUCAGAUGGAUUUGAGUAAGAGUUUUAACGGACGGACCCGAAAGACAGUGAACUAUGCUUGUAUAGGGUGAAGCCAGAGGAAACUCUGGUGGAGGCUCGCAGCGGUUCUGACGUGCAAAUCGAUCGUCAAAUAUGAGCAUGGGGGCGAAAGACUAAUCGAACUGUCUAGUAGCUGGUUACCGCCGAAGUU
rnacentral:rRNA from 1 species